AAUUCGGGGAGAUUUGGGAUCAUUUUGGGGGAAAUUUGGGGAAAAAUGGGGAAAUUCGGGGAGAUUUGGGGAGAUUGGGGAAUAUUUGGGGUCAUUUGGGGGAGAUUCGGGGAGACUUGGGGGAAAUUCGGGGAGAUUUGGGGUCAUUUUGAGGGAAAUUUGGGGAAAAAUGGGGAAAUUCGGGGAGAUUUGGGGUCAUUUUGGGGGAAAUUUGGGGAAAAAAUGGGGAAAUUCGGGGAGAUUUGGGGAGAUUGGGGAAUAUUUGGGGUCGUUUGGGGGAGAUUCGGGGAGAUUUGGGGGAGAUUCGGGGAGAUUUGGGGGAAAUUCGGGGAGAUUUGGGGUCAUUUUGGGGAGAUUCAGGGAGAUUUGGGGUCAUUUGGGGGAAAUUUGGGGAGAUUUGGGGUCAUUUUGGGGAAAUUGGGGAAUAUUUGGGGUUAUUUGGGGGAGAUUUGGGGUCGUUUGGGGGAAAUUCGGGGAGAUUUGGGGUCAUUUUGGGGAGUUUCGGGAAUAUUUGGGGGAAAUUUGGGGAGAUUUGGGAGUUAUUUGGGGGAAUUUGGGGUUUAUUUGAGGUUAUUUUGGGGAAAGUCGGGAAUAUUUGGGGUCAUUUCGGGGAAAUUCGGGGAAAUUUGGAGUUUUUUGGGGAAAUUUGGGGAAAAAUUGGGGAAAUUCAGGGAGAUUUGGGGUCGUUUGGGGGUAAUUUGGGGACAUUUGGGGGAGAUUCGGGGAGAUUUGGGGGAAAUUCGGGGAGAUUUGGGGUCAUUUGGAAUCCCCCAAAAUUCCCUCUCAAAUCCCCAAAUUUCUUUUCUGGAACUUCAGAAUUCCCCCAAAUUCCCAAAAUUCCUAAAAUUCCCAAAAUUCCUCCAUCCCAUCCCUCAGGCAGCCUGUCCUGUACAUCAUGAGCAUCUCCUCUGAAACCCCAAAAUUCCACCUGGAAACACCAAAAUCCCCAAAAAAUCCCCCAAAAAUCCCCAAAAAAUUCCCCAAAAAUCCCCAAAAUUCCUAAAAAGUUCCCAAAAAUUCCCAAAUUCACCCCAAAUUCCCCCUUACCAUCCCUCAGGCAGCCUGUCCUGUACAUCAUGGGCAUCUCCUCUGCAACCCCAAAACUGCCUCUCAAACCUCCAAAAUUCCACCUGGAAACCCCAAAAUUCCACCUGGAAACCCCAAAAUUCCCCCUGGAAACCCCCAAAUUGUCCCAAAAACCCCCAAAUUCACCCCAAAUCCCCCUUUACCAUCCCUCAGGCAGCCUAUCCUGUACAUCAGAGGAUCUCUGCAACCUCAAAUUCCCUUUCUGAAACCCCAAAAUUCCACCUGGAAACCCCAAAAAUCCCCCAAAAAUUCCCCAAAAUCCCUCAAAAAAUCCCCAAAAAAUCCCUAAAAAUUCCCCAAAUUGUCCCAAAUUCCCCCCUUACCAUCCCUCAGGCAGCCUAUCCUGUACAUCAUGGGCAUCUUGAUGACGAAGGCGAACAGGUCGUCGAUGAAGGUGUUGAGGGCCUUGUAGGUGAGCAUGCGCCAGGGCAGGUGCGCCACCGACUGCAGCUUGUAAUUGAUGAACAGCUGGGGCGUCAUCGUGAUGAACCCUGCAGCCAGGGCACAGGGGAUUUAGGAACCUUUUUGGGGGGUUUAGGAACCAUUUUGGGGGGUUUAGGGGUGAUUUGGGGGUUUGGGAGCCGUUUCGUUGAAAUU
ensembl:lncRNA